rnacentral:rRNA from 1 species
AGAGUUUGAUCCUGGCUCAGGAUGAACGCUAGCGACAGGCUUAACACAUGCAAGUUGAGGGGCAGCAAUUUGUAGCAAUACAAAGUUGGCGACCGGCGCACGGGUGAGUAACGCGUAUGCAACCUACCCACAACAGAAGAAUAAUCCGGCGAAAGUCGGUCUAAUACUUCAUAAAACAGGGACACCGCAUGGUGUUAUUUGUUAAAGAUUUAUCGGUUGUGGAUGGGCAUGCGUACCAUUAGGUAGUUGGUGAGGUAACGGCCCACCAAGCCUACGAUGGUUAGGGGUUCUGAGAGGAAAGUCCCCCACACUGGUACUGAGACACGGACCAGACUCCUACGGGAGGCAGCAGUGAGGAAUAUUGGUCAAUGGGCGAGAGCCUGAACCAGCCAAGUCGCGUGAAGGAUGACGGCCCUAUGGGUUGUAAACUUCUUUUGCAGGGGAAUAAAGAUAUUCACGUGUGGGUAGUUGUAUGUACCCUGCGAAUAAGCAUCGGCUAACUCCGUGCCAGCAGCCGCGGUAAUACGGAGGAUGCGAGCGUUAUCCGGAUUUAUUGGGUUUAAAGGGUGCGUAGGUGGGCUAUUAAGUCAGUGGUGAAAGUUUGUCGCUCAACGAUAAAAUUGCCGUUGAAACUGGUGGUCUUGAGUAUGGAUGAAGUAGGCGGAAUGCGUGGUGUAGCGGUGAAAUGCAUAGAGAUCACGCAGAACUCCGAUUGCGAAGGCAGCUUACUAAGGCAUAACUGACACUGAAGCACGAAAGCGUGGGUAUCAAACAGGAUUAGAUACCCUGGUAGUCCACGCAGUAAACGAUGAUUACUAGGAGUUUGCGAUAUAGUGUAAGCUCUACAGCGAAAGCGUUAAGUAAUCCACCUGGGGAGUACGCCGGCAACGGUGAAACUCAAAGGAAUUGACGGGGGCCC